AACGAACGCUGGCGGCAGGCCUAACACAUGCAAGUCGAGCGAGGACUUCGGUCCUAGCGGCGGACGGGUGAGUAACGCGUGGGAACGUGCCCUUUGCUUCGGAAUAGCCCUGGGAAACUGGGAGUAAUACCGGAUGAGCCCUUUGGGGGAAAGAUUUAUCGGCGAAGGAUCGGCCCGCGUUGGAUUAGGUAGUUGGUGGGGUAAUGGCCUACCAAGCCGACGAUCCAUAGCUGGUUUGAGAGGAUGAUCAGCCACACUGGGACUGAGACACGGCCCAGACUCCUACGGGAGGCAGCAGUGGGGAAUCUUAGACAAUGGGGGAAACCCUGAUCUAGCCAUGCCGCGUGAGCGAUGAAGGCCUUAGGGUUGUAAAGCUCUUUCAGCGGGGAAGAUAAGGACGGUACCAGCAGAAGAAGCCCCGGCUAACUCCGU
rnacentral:rRNA from 1 species